GAGCUCACUUCGGCAAACACUUCUACUAAAAUUGGAAUGAUACAGAGAAGACUAGCAUGGCCCCUGCAAAAGGAUAUCAUGCACAUUCAGGAAGUGCCAGAUUUUUAA
ensembl:snRNA U6 U6 spliceosomal RNA